GGUUCUGUGGUGUAGUGGUUAUCACGUAUCGUUCACAUUCAAUUAUCACGUGAUUAAUUGGAGGAUGCCGAUAAGGUCACGAGUUCGACCCUCGUCAGGAUCA
rfam:Sugiyamaella lignohabitans strain CBS 10342 chromosome A, complete sequence.